rnacentral:rRNA from 1 species
UGGGGAAUAUUGCACAAUGGGCGCAAGCCUGAUGCAGCCAUGCCUCGUGUAUGAAGAAGGCCUUCGGGUUGUAAAGUACUUUCAGCGGGGAGGAAGGCGAUAAGGUUAAUAACCUUGUCGAUUGACGUUACCCGCAGAAGAAGCACCGGCUAACUCCGUGCCAGCAGCCGCGGUAAUACGGAGGGUGCAAGCGUUAAUCGGAAUUACUGGGCGUAAAGCGCACGCAGGCGGUCUGUCAAGUCGGAUGUGAAAUCCCCGGGCUCAACCUGGGAACUGCAUUCGAAACUGGCAGGCUAGAGUCUUGUAGAGGGGGGUAGAAUUCCAGGUGUAGCGGUGAAAUGCGUAGAGAUCUGGAGGAAUACCGGUGGCGAAGGCGGCCCCCUGGACAAAGACUGACGCUCAGGUGCGAAAGCGUGGGGAGCAAACA